GUUGAACGCUGGCGGCAUGCUUUACACAUGCAAGUCGAACGGUAACAGGCCGCAAGGUGCUGACGAGUGGCGAACGGGUGAGUAAUGCAUCGGAACGUGCCCAGUCGUGGGGGAUAGCGCAGCGAAAGCUGCGCUAAUACCGCAUACGAUCUAUGGAUGAAAGCGGGGGACCGUAAGGCCUCGCGCGAUUGGAGCGGCCGAUGUCAGAUUAGGUAGUUGGUGGGGUAAAGGCUCACCAAGCCAACGAUCUGUAGCUGGUCUGAGAGGACGACCAGCCACACUGGGACUGAGACACGGCCCAGACUCCUACGGGAGGCAGCAGUGGGGAAUUUUGGACAAUGGGCGCAAGCCUGAUCCAGCAAUGCCGCGCGCAGGAAGAAGGCCUUCGGGUUGUAAACUGCUUUUGUACGGAACGAAACGGUCCGGGUUAAUACCCUGGGCUAAUGACGGUACCGUAAGAAUAAGCACCGGCUAACUACGUGCCAGCCGCCGCCGUAACAC
rnacentral:rRNA from 1 species